rnacentral:rRNA from 1 species
AUGAAGUUCAUGACUUUUGGUAUCAAUGCAUUAUCUGGACCUCUACCAAAGGAGCUCGGGAACCUUAAGAAUCUUAUAAAAUUGGGCUUGGGCGGAAACAAUUUUAGUGGCUCGCUUCCUUCGGAACUGGGAAACCUGGCAAAACUUGAGGAACUGUACAUUGACAGUUCUGGCCUUAGUGGUCCACUUCCAUCAUCACUUUCCCAGCUUACGAAAAUGAAAAAAUUAUGGGCAUCAGAUAAUGAUUUUACUGGGCAAAUACCAGAUUAUAUUGGUACCUGGAGCAGUUUGACUGAGCUGAGGUUUCAGGGUAAUUCUUUUCAAGGUCCAAUUCCAGCUACUCUUUCCAAUCUUGGCCAAUUGGCAAGCUUACGAAUUGGUGAUAUAUUAAAUGGGAGCUCUUCUUCACUUGCAUUCAUCUCUAAUCUGACAUCUUUGAACACCCUGGUUUUGCGGAACUGUAGGAUAUCUGAUAAGCUUGUAUCAAUAGACUUCUCGAAAUUCGCAAGUUUAAAUUUACUGGAUUUGAGUUUCAAUAAUAUCACAGGCCAAGUACCACAAACCUUGUUGAAUCUGAACUCACUCGCCUUCUUAUUUCUUGGGAAUAAUAGCCUUUCAGGAAGCCUUCCAAGCUCAGUAGGAUCAUUGCUUAAAACUUUAGAUUUUUCUUACAACCAGCUCUCAGGAAGCAUUCCUUCAUGGGCUAAAAAUUCACAAUUGAAUCUGGUGGCAAACAAUUUUGUGGCCGAUAGUUCCAGCAACAGUGUCUUACCUGCGGGGUGGGGGUGCCUUCAGCGUAAUACACCAUGUUUUCUUGAUUCUCCAAAGUCUUCUUCCUUUGCUGUGGACUCUGGAAAAUCUAUAGUAGGCCCAGAUAAUUCUGUGUAUGAACCUGAUCGUGCGAGUCUUGGAGCUGCAUCACUAUAUGUUACAGGAGCACCAACAUGGGGUGUUAGCAACGUUGGAAAGUUCAUGGAGGCAAAUAAUGGAAGUUAUAUAAUCCACAGUCCUGGCCAGUUUCUCAAUACACUUGAACCAGAACUGUUCCAGAAUGCAAGGAUGUCGCCGUCAUCCUUAAGAUACUAUGGUAUUGGACUAGAAAAUGGAAACUAUACAGUCACACUUCUGUUUGCAGAGUUUGAUUUCCCAGACACCCAGUCUUGGAAGAGCAGAGGUAGAAGGGUUUUCGAUAUAUAUGUUCAGGGUGAACGUAAGGAGCAGAACUUUGACAUAAGGAAGGCCGCAGGCGGGAAAUCUUUCACAGCUGUUAGGAAGCAGUAUACUGUUCCUGUCACGAAGAACUUUCUAGAUAUUCAUCUCUUCUGGGCUGGCAAGGGCACUUGCUGCAUUCCUACUCAAGGCUACUACGGGCCUGCGAUCUCAGCUUUGAGUGCAACACCAAAUUUCACCCCUACAGUGCGUAAUGCUGCAGUAAAGAAGAAAGGUAGUAAAACAGGUGUGAUUGCUGGAGCUAUAGUUGGCGUGGUAGUUUUAGGAUUGUUAGCAUUUGUUGGAAUCUUUGUUUGGAGGCAGAAAAGGAGAAAACUAUCGUUGGAGCAAGAAGAGCUGUACAGUAUUGUAGGAAGACCUAAUGUCCUCAGCUAUGGGGAGCUGAGGUCAGCUACUGAAAAUUUCAGUUCUAAUAACCUCCUUGGUCAGGGAGGAUAUGGAUCGGUUUUUAAGGGAAAGUUAACUGAUGGUAGGUUUGUGGCAGUGAAGCAGCUGUCUGAAACAUCUCAUCAGGGGAAAAAGGAAUUCGCGACGGAAAUAGAAACGAUAUCUCGGGUUCAACACCGUAAUCUUGUGAAAUUGUAUGGUUGCUGCCUUGAGGGCAAUAAGCCAUUGCUGGUUUAUGAGUACCUGGAGAAUGGAAGCCUGGACCGUGCUCUAUUUGGAAAAGGGAAGUCAAACCUAGACUGGUCAACGCGUUUUGAGAUAUGCUUAGGAAUUGCAAGAGGUCUGGCCUAUCUUCAUGAAGAAUCUAGCAUCCGUGUUGUGCACAGGGACAUAAAAGCCAGCAAUGUCUUGCUUGAUGCAAAUCUCAAUCCUAAGAUCUCAGAUUUUGGACUCGCAAAACUUUAUGAUGACCAGGAGACACAUGUGAGCACGAAAGUUGCUGGUACAUUUGGUUAUCUUGCACCAGAGUAUGCCAUGAGAGGCCAUGUGACAGAGAAGGUUGAUGUGUUUGCAUUUGGCGUCGUGGUAUUGGAGACUUUAGCUGGAAGACCAAACUAUUACACUACUGAGGACCAAAACAAGGUUUAUAUUUUCGAAUGGGUCUGGGAACUGUACGAGGACGGCCAACCUCUGGACAUGCUAGACCCCAGGCUGGAGGACUUCGACCGUGAGGAGGUACUUCGGGUCAUCAAGGUGGCGCUCGUGUGCACCCAGGGCUCGCCCCACCAGCGGCCGCCCAUGUCGAGGGUGGUGGCGAUGCUGGCGGGCGACGUCGAGGCGCCCGACUGGGUGCCGAAGCCCAGCUACAUCACGGAAUGGCACAUCAAGGGUGGCGGCGACACCAGCUACAUGAGCUCCGAGGUCAACGGGCAGUCAAGCUCGGUGCCGGCGCCAUUCCUAGGCUCUGUCAUCGACCAAGGCCGUUGA